rnacentral:rRNA from 1 species
CUGGCUCAGGAUGAACGCUGGCGGCGUGCCUAAUACAUGCAAGUCGAGCGAACAGAUAAGGAGCUUGCUCCUUUGACGUUAGCGGCGGACGGGUGAGUAACACGUGGAUAACCUACCUAUAAGACUGGGAUAACUUCGGGAAACCGGAGCUAAUACCGGAUAACAUAUUGAACCGCAUGGUUCAAUAGUGAAAGGCGGCUUUGCUGUCACUUAUAGAUGGAUCCGCGCCGUAUUAGCUAGUUGGUAAGGUAACGGCUUACCAAGGCAACGAUACGUAGCCGACCUGAGAGGGUGAUCGGCCACACUGGAACUGAGACACGGUCCAGACUCCUACGGGAGGCAGCAGUAGGGAAUCUUCCGCAAUGGGCGAAAGCCUGACGGAGCAACGCCGCGUGAGUGAUGAAGGUCUUCGGAUCGUAAAACUCUGUUAUCAGGGAAGAACAAAUGUGUAAGUAACUGUGCACAUCUUGACGGUACCUGAUCAGAAAGCCACGGCUAACUACGUGCCAGCAGCCGCGGUAAUACGUAGGUGGCAAGCGUUAUCCGGAAUUAUUGGGCGUAAAGCGCGCGUAGGCGGUUUUUUAAGUCUGAUGUGAAAGCCCACGGCUCAACCGUGGAGGGUCAUUGGAAACUGGAAAACUUGAGUGCAGAAGAGGAAAGUGGAAUUCCAUGUGUAGCGGUGAAAUGCGCAGAGAUAUGGAGGAACACCAGUGGCGAAGGCGACUUUCUGGUCUGUAACUGACGCUGAUGUGCGAAAGCGUGGGGAUCAAACAGGAUUAGAUACCCUGGUAGUCCACGCCGUAAACGAUGAGUGCUAAGUGUUAGGGGGUUUCCGCCCCCUUAGUGCUGCAGCUAACGCAUUAAGCACUCCGCCCUGGAGUAGGACCGC